rnacentral:rRNA from 1 species
UACGAAGGUCCCAAGCGUUAUCCGGAUUUAUUGGGUUUAAAGGGUGCGUAGGCGGGUUAUUAAGUCAGUGGUGAAAGCCUUCAGCUUAACUGAAGAAUUGCCAUUGAUACUGAUGAUCUUGAGUAUGAUUGAGGUUGGCGGAAUGUGUCAUGUAGCGGUGAAAUGCUUAGAUAUGACACAGAACACCGAUUGCGAAGGCAGCUAGCUAAGCCAUAACUGACGCUGAUGCACGAAAGCGUGGGGAGCAAACAGG